rnacentral:rRNA from 1 species
CGGAGCUUACCAUGCAGUCGAGCGGUAACAGGGGGUGCUUGCACCCCGCUGACGAGCGGCGGACGGGUGAGUAAUGCAUAGGAAUCUGCCCAGUAGUGGGGGAUAGCCCGGGGAAACCCGGAUUAAUACCGCAUACGCCCUUUGGGGGAAAGCAGGGGAUCUUCGGACCUUGCGCUAUUGGAUGAGCCUAUGUCGGAUUAGCUAGUUGGUGGGGUAAAGGCCUACCAAGGCGACGAUCCGUAGCUGGUCUGAGAGGAUGAUCAGCCACAUCGGGACUGAGACACGGCCCGAACUCCUACGGGAGGCAGCAGUGGGGAAUAUUGGACAAUGGGGGCAACCCUGAUCCAGCCAUGCCGCGUGUGUGAAGAAGGCUUUCGGGUUGUAAAGCACUUUCAGUGAGGAGGAAAACCUUCUGGUUAAUACCCAUGAGGCUUGACGUUACUCACAGAAGAAGCACCGGCUAACUCCGUGCCAGCAGCCGCGGUAAUACGGAGGGUGCAAGCGUUAAUCGGAAUUACUGGGCGUAAAGCGCGCGUAGGUGGUUUGAUAAGCGAGAUGUGAAAGCCCCGGGCUUAACCUGGGAACGGCAUUUCGAACUGUCAGGCUAGAG